GUCUUCCAGCUCCCGGUGUACCAUCCCGGCGGCCGCUGCCCGGCGCCCUGCGAGCGGCCGUGAACCGCUGAGGUCUCACUAACACAGACUGUGAGCUCCUUGAAAGUAGGUGUCAGACCUGAAUUAUUCAUGUAUCCCCAGUACCUGGCAAGGUGCCUGUCAACUGCUCAAGCUCUGUACGGUGGCUGAUGCUCUCCACCUGCCGCUGGAUACCCAGGAGCCCUCACUCUGUCUUGGAGAACAGCCACAAGGGUGAAGCAGAGUCGGAGCCUGAGGCUAGCCACUGGAGGCCAAUCUGGAGAAGAAGCGCCCAACAUGAUGACAAUGGGGGUCAUCCCCGUUCUGGCAACAUCAGAAACAGAUGCUGGCACCGUG